UGGGGAAUAUUGCACAAUGGGGGGAACCCUGAUGCAGCAACGCCGCGUGAAGGAAGAAGUAUUUCGGUAUGUAAACUUCUAUCAGCAGGGAAGAAAGAAACGACGGUACCUGAAUAAGAAGCCCCGGCUAAUUACGUGCCAGCAGCCGCGGUAAUACGUAAGGGGCAAGCGUUAUCCGGAUUUACUGGGUGUAAAGGGUGAGUAGGCGGUACGGCAAGUCAUAUGUGAAAUUCCGGGGCUUAACCCCGGAGCUGCAUAAGAAACUGUCGGACUAGAGUGCAGGAGAGGUAAGCGGAAUUCCCAGUGUAGCGGUGAAAUGCGUAGAUAUUGGGAAGAACACCGGUGGCGAAGGCGGCUUACUGGACUGUAACUGACGCUGAGUCACGAAAGCGUGGGGAGCGAACAGG
rnacentral:rRNA from 1 species